rnacentral:misc_RNA from 1 species
AAGACAUGCAUAUGACUACUGGCAGAAUCAUCCAGGUAGCAUUCCUCCACGACGACGCCCGCCGGCCCCCGCACCGCCGAGGCGGCCGAGGGUCGCGGGCGGCUGUCACACAUUAUAUCAGAGCUCCUCUUAGGACGGGGCACGAGUCCCCGCCCGUGGCGUACGCUGGGUCCGAGAGCGCCGCACUUCCCCGCGGGCCACGCGACCGGUGAAGGCUCGGUGGAACACGGGGGGUGCUUCGUUGUCCUCCUGCGCCCGUUAGAGGGCGCCGGAUGGAGGCCGAGUGCGAGUGGCCUGCUUCCCCCGGGGGGUAGGCAGCACAAGAACCGGCCUCUGAGGCACCAUCCCGCCUCACAGCGACCUACGCGGAUCGCCUGCCGACCGUUCGGUGCGCGAGCACGGAGCCAGACGAAGCAGAGACAACACAAACACCACCCAC